rnacentral:rRNA from 1 species
GAUGAACGCUGGCGGCGUGCCUAAUACAUGCAAGUCGAGCGAACAGACGAGGAGCUUGCUCCUCUGACGUUAGCGGCGGACGGGUGAGUAACACGUGGAUAACCUACCUAUAAGACUGGGAUAACUUCGGGAAACCGGAGCUAAUACCGGAUAAUAUAUUGAACCGCAUGGUUCAAUAGUGAAAGACGGUUUUGCUGUCACUUAUAGAUGGAUCCGCGCCGCAUUAGCUAGUUGGUAAGGUAACGGCUUACCAAGGCAACGAUGCGUAGCCGACCUGAGAGGGUGAUCGGCCACACUGGAACUGAAACACGCUCCAGACGCCUACGAGAGGCAGCAGUAGGGAAUCUUCCGCAAUGGGCGAAAGCCUGACGGAGCAACGCCGCGUGAGUGAUGAAGGUCUUCGGAUCGUAAAACUCUGUUAUUAGGGAAGAACAAAUGUGUAAGUAACUAUGCACGUCUUGACGGUACCUAAUCAGAAAGCCACGGCUAACUACGUG